UUCUCCAAGGAUGAUCAGAACUAUAAUUUUCCUCUGAGGUCAUGUACAAUGCGGAAGAUUCAUGGAGACCUGAACUGAGGAGUA